UCCCAUUCGCAAAUACUAAAA
rnacentral:piRNA from 1 species